GUUUUUAUUCUAUUCAAUUAAACCCUUCAAUUACUUGUGAUCUCUUCUUUUAGGUUUUGUUUUCUGGGUUAUUUAGGGGAAAAUUUAUGGAGUUACGGGAUGGGAUUACAAGAAGCCAGAAAGAGCUCAUCCAGUGCGUCCUUACAACCUGCCGCCAAAAACGAGUGUUCUUCAGGAAACUCUUGCAGGGGUUAUUAAUAUGAUUGGACCCGCUAUGAGGAUCGAAGCUUUGAAAUAUAUCAAUAUAUUAGCUAACCAGUCCAGGUGCGUUAUGGUUUUUUUGCGCAUGCCUAAGUUGAUAUCAGCAGCUAUUUGGUGAGUAAUGAAAUCUUGAGUCAUAUAUAUUAUACAUGAGUCUUGAUUUAAACUUAGAGAACUGAAAUAUUGAUGACCAUAUGUUUUUUCUUUCUUAGCUUAGAUUUUUGGAUAGUUACUGUCAAUUUCUAAUUAAGGAUCAAUAGUUAUAAAAUAACCACACGAUUGAUCUCAAACUAUGUUGCAUGGAUACGGCAAUUGGAGGCGUGUCGCCGUGUCCGACACGCCGAUACGACACGAUACACAUAUUACUAAAAAUCUUUGGUAGUUCAAUUAUGUUUUGAUAUUGGUAUUUGAACCCAUACUACUGGACUACUACUUCACUGAAUCACUGAAUUUAAAAGAUUUCCGUCAAUAGCCUUGGUGUUAUAAGUUCAGUAUCUGAAGAUCAUGAUAGCAACUAAAACUGUGUAGGCAAUAGGGUAUAGGACUACUUGAUAUGUAUGUAGGAACUUAGGAUGUUCCUCCACAUUGAUUUUCUGCAUCAAAUUAUGUGUAAGGGCCUUAUGCUUUAAUAUCUUUGGGCAGUGUGUUGAAAAGUAUCCAUCUAAAAUGAUAUUGGCUAUUGAUGUUGAGUAUUGAUUAUUAAAGUAGAAGUAAUUAGAUGUGAUGAUUUAAUUGUUGAAUACUUUCAUAAGAUGAGUUCAAGUGCAGCAUCAACCGAACCGUCCGAACAUAGUGUUAAUACAACUGAGGUGGGAAAUUGAAGUGCUCCUCUUUGGAAAUAUGUUACUAAGCAUGUAGUACUUGAUGACGAUGGAAAUGUUGUCAAAGCCGCAUGAGGAAAUGUUAGCUGGGAAUGUAAGUUAUGUCAUGUGAGUUUCAAUGGGUCACAUUCUAGAGUUAAGUCUCAUUUGCUUAAAGAGAAAGGCACAGGAGUCAGGGCUUGCAGCAAAAUCAAUGAUGAUCAGGGUCAAGAAGUACAUCAGCUUCUAGCCUUUUGUGAGCAAAAGUUGCGGGAGAAAGCUCCUAAGAAAGUUUCUUUGCCUCCUUCAAAUAUGUCUAUGUUAGGAAGUGGUUCCACUUAUUUUCCCUUGGAGGAAAGGGAUGAUGCAAGCAAAAAGAGAAGGGUGGUGAGUCCACAUCUUCCCAAAGCUUUCAAGAUUGAAGAGAGGUAACAAUGUUAUGCCGAAGUUGCAAGAUUGUUUUGCACUAAUGGAUUACCGUUCAAUGUCCUUAUUUCCGAGGAUCCUACAUUCGUGCUUCACACAUUCCGGGUUAUACUCCCUCGGGGUACAAUGAAUAGAAGACCACUCUUCUUGAUAAUGAGAGGCGCAAUGGGUGCUACAACCCGUUAAGAAGACAUGGAAGGAGACCGAUGUGAGCUUGUGUUCCGAUGGGUGGACCAAUGAUCAAUAUGAUGGCUGUUUCCACCAAUAGGGCUAUUAUGUUAAAGGCAAUAAAUUCUGAAGACCAAUAUAAAGACAAGCAUGAAAUUAGUAAAUUGCUUUUGGAAUCCAUCAAUGAGUAGAUUGCUUUUGGAUUCUAUGAUGUGGUGCACUCCAUCUUGAUACAUAGGUGGACUAGGAAUUCUACCUCUCUUUAUUGCCUAGCACACUCCUUGAAUCCAAGGUAUUAUAGUUCUCAAUGGCUUAAAGAGGUUCCUAAUCGGGUUGCGCGCUCCAUAUAGAGAUCCCGAGCUCAACAAUGAAAGGAGAAAAUGUCUUCAACAACUCUUUCCAAAUUCCCAAGUUUGUAACAAAGUGAUGGAGGAAUUUGCCUAUUUUUCAUUAAACAUGGGAGAUUAUUCGACACCCGAAGCUUUGGAGAAUAAGUUCCAUUUUGAGCCUAUAAUUUGGUGGGCAAGUUAUGGAGCAUCUACACUACUUCAAACUUUGUGUCACAUCCUGGAAGGGAAAAUGACGGUAUUAAAGUUAAAAAAUUUGGAUUAACAAGCGAACAAACGAACAGAGUCCGUUUGAACACUCCCUAGCUUGGAAACUUGUACAAAUUUUUCGCUAAACAAUGAACUGAGUUUUACAUAUGUAACUUGAAAAGAAACUCAAAUUACGAUUUUGGAA